GACGAACGCUGGCGGCGUGCUUAACACAUGCAAGUCGAACGGAAAGGCCCUGCUUUUGUGGGGUGCUCGAGUGGCGAACGGGUGAGUAACACGUGAGUAACCUGCCCUUGACUUUGGGAUUACUUCAGGAAACUGGGGCUAAUACCGGAUAGGAGCUCCUGCUGCAUGGUGGGGGUGGAAAGUUUCGGCGGUUGGGGAUGGACUCGCGGCUUAUCAGCUUGUUGGGGGGGUAGUGGCAUACCAAGGCAUUGACGGGUAGCCGACCUGAGAGGGUGACCGGCCACAAUGGGACUGAGAUACGGACCAGACUCCUACGGGAGGCAGCAGUGGGGAAUAUUGCACAAUGGGCGGAAGCCUGAUGCAGCAGCGCCGCGUGCGGGAUGACGGCCUUCGGGUUGUAAACCGCUUUCGCCUGUGACGAAGCGUGAGUGACGGUAAUGGGUAAAGAAGCACCGGCUAACUACGUG
rnacentral:rRNA from 1 species